rnacentral:rRNA from 1 species
GACGAACGCUGGCGGCGUGCUUAACACAUGCAAGUCGAACGAUGAAGCUGGAGCUUGCUCCAGUGGAUUAGUGGCGAACGGGUGAGUAACACGUGAGCAAUCUGCCCUUGACUCUGGGAUAACUGCGGGAAACUGUAGCUAAUACCGGAUACGACACCUUGGGGCAUCCCGGGGUGUGGAAAGAAUUUCGGUCAAGGAUGAGCUCGCGGCCUAUCAGCUUGUUGGUGAGGUAAAGGCUCACCAAGGCGACGACGGGUAGCCGGCCUGAGAGGGUGACCGGCCACACUGGAACUGAGACACGGUCCAGACUCCUACGGGAGGCAGCAGUGGGGAAUAUUGCACAAUGGGCGAAAGCCUGAUGCAGCAACGCCGCGUGAGGGAUGACGGCCUUCGGGUUGUAAACCUCUUUUAGCAGGGAAGAAGCGAAAGUGACGGUACCUGCAGAAAAAGCACCGGCUAACUACGUGCCAGCAGCCGCAGUAA